rnacentral:tRNA from 1 species
UGCCGGGUCGUCUAACGGUAGGACUACAGACUUUGACUCUGUGUAUCCAGGUUCGAAUCCUGGCCCGGCAGCCA